GACGAACGCUGGCGGCGUGCCUAACACAUGCAAGUCGAACGGAAAGGCCCUGCUUUUGUGGGGUGCUCGAGGUGCGAACGGGGGAGUAACACGUGAGUUACCUGUCCUUGACUGUGGGAUAACUUCAUGCAACUGGAGCUAUUACGGGCUAGGAGCUCCUGCUGCAUGGUGGGGGUGGGAAAGUUUCGGCGGUUGGGGGUGGGCUCGCGGCUUAUGGGCUUGUUGCUGGGGUAGUGGAUGACCAAGGCUUGGCCGGGUAGCCUGGCUGGGAGGGUAACCGGCCACAUUGCGCCUGAGAUACGGCACGGACUAGUACGGGAGGCAGCGGUGGAGAAGAUUGCACAAUGGGCGGAAGCCUGAUGUGGCAACGCAGCGUGGGGGGUGACGGCAUUCGCGUUGUGAAGCGCUUCCGCCUGUGACGAAGCGUGAGUGACGGUAACGGGUAAAGAAGCACCGGCUAACUACGUG
rnacentral:rRNA from 1 species